CAGUCGCCACGGUAAUACGUAGGUGGCAAGCGUUGUCCGGAAUUAUUGGGCGUAAAGGGCUCGCAGGCGGUUUCUUAAGUCUGAUGUGAAAGCCCCCGGCUCAACCGGGGAGGGUCAUUGGAAACUGGGAAACUUGAGUGCAGAAGAGGAGAGUGGAAUUCCACGUGUAGUGGUGAAAUGCGUAGAGACGUGGAGGAACACCAGUGGCGAAGGCGACUCUCUGGUCUGUAACUGACGCUGAGGAGCGAAAGCGUGGGGAGCGAACAGGAUUAGAGACCCCGGUAGUCCCUGUCUCUUAUAC
rnacentral:rRNA from 1 species